CCUACGGGAGGCAGCAGUAGGGAAUCUUCCACAAUGGGCGAAAGCCUGAUGGAGCAACGCCGCGUGAGUGAAGAAGGAUUUCGGUUCGUAAAACUCUGUUGUAAGGGAAGAACAAGUACAGUAGUAACUGGCUGUACCUUGACGGUACCUUAUUAGAAAGCCACGGCUAACUACGUGCCAGCAGCCGCGGUAAUAAUCUCUAGAGG
rnacentral:rRNA from 1 species